AUUAACUCGGUAUUUGAAAUAGCAUCUGUACAGCCAUAACCUGAUGCGUCGCCAAGCAAAUGGUAACAACAGUGUCUCUUUUAUAUAUCCUAAGUGGUUCCUUUUGGGGACAACAGGUUUGUUACAUGUGAAUUUGUCUGCACUGUGAAGGUUAUUGUGAUCAUACUAGCAGUUCUCAAGAUAUCAAGCUCAUCGAGAGGGGUGUGUGAAGUCAAAACUAUUUGUAUAAUAAUACUAAGUUGUUAUUUUCAUUUUCUUUCUCUUAUAAGUGCAUAGCGAAUCUUUCCAGACAUGUGUUAUUGCAACGGAUUGAGUGCAAAGUGGAUAUGAAAACCAAGCUGCCUUCUACUGAACCAGACAUUAAGGAGAUUUGUAAAACUUUAAAACCUUACCACUUCUCUCACUGAUACUUUUGUUUUAUAAAAUAGUUAUUUUUAUAAAACCAUUAAUAUGUAGUGGUUUCAUUGUUUUUAUUGUCAAAUAAUUAGU
rnacentral:lncRNA from 10 species